UGGUUGAGGGGAGAAGUUUUUGGGUGGUUGCUGCUGGUUUGAGGAGAGAAUUCCUUGGAUGGUUGCAGCCGAUUUUGAGGGGAAAAAUAGAGAAGAGAGGAAGCCAUUUAUGGAGCAAAAUAAAAUGAGGAAAAGAGCUGAUUUUUGAGAGAGGAACGAGAGGCCUUAUGUUGUCAAUUUUUGAGAGGAAAAAGAGACCUUUUGCUGCUGGAUUUUUGGGAAGGAAAAAAGAGAGGAAGCUGGGCUGUUAUCGUGACUGGCGGUGAGAGUGAAAGUAGAAAGCUUGCUGCCGACGUUGGAAGUGAAAGAGGAAGGAGGAAGGAUGAAAGCUGCAGCAAAAAAGGUGAGAAAGAGAUCAGGUGAAGGAAAGGUAAUGGGUGCAUAAAAGGAAAAAAUAUAUAUAAUAAUAAAAUAAAAUAAAAUAUAUAUAUAUUAAGUGGGUUUCAAUAUUUAAGAGAAAUAAGUAAAGGUGGUACAUUAUGGUGGCAGGCCGAAGGAAAUAACGAGCGACCGACAAGAAGGAAUAAGUAGAUACGUCUUCGAAUUAAUAGCGAUGUAGUGUCUCGCUAUUCUGAGGUGAGUAGGGGAUGUCAAUUUUAAAAUUCCCAUAAUAGUGUAAAUGUACGUAUAUUUUAUUUUAGAUGUAAAAUUAUGGAUAGCAUGUGUUGGUAGAAAUUUUAAGGAAUUGUGAAUGCAAAUUAUUUUUCAAAAAUUGUUUUGAAUAUAUAUGUAGAAAUUAUAUGUAAAGUGUUUUGAAAAUCGGGAAAUAAGCCCUUCGCACUAUUUUGCCUCAAAAUCUGUGCCUUAUAUUUGUGCAGUGUGCAUUCAUGGUUAUAUUUCUUAUUCACCAUGCAAAUUAUUGUUUUGAAAUUCAUGCAUAAAUAUAUUUUGAGAAAAUGAUAGAUUUUAUCAUACCCUAUGUUGAAUGCUUUGGAAAAUAAUUUUGAGACGAGCUUUUAAGGACAUAACACAAUUUUAAAAUAGUUUUACAAACCGAGAGAUUUGAGAGUAGGCCGGUUGUCACUUUGGUUAAGUGUGACCCUGUGCACGAGUGAGCUCUAGCUAGAGGACCUUUGGAUCGUCGACAGGCGGUUAGGCGUGGUGGGGACCACUACCUGUGAUAUAUGUAUGUGUGGCUAGGCCACCACAUGAUUAUGCGGUUGCGACCUCUUGAUUCUCCAAUGUCAGCUAACAUCGUUGAGACUGCCAUGGCAUGUGGGAUCCGAUGGAGCAAGGCUCCCGAAGGUUAUUACGUGGUAUCGGGACCACAAAUUUUAUUUGAUUUCCUACUCGAGACAAAAAUCUCUUUAAGUUUUCAGACUCUUACUCCCUGCAUGGUGAAAAUGAAAUUAUGUGGUUUCUUGCAGCUUCCCCUAGUUUUACUGUUAUAUGAAUUUUACCCUCGUGUGCGAGACGAUUUGCGAACUGUGUAUAAACCUGGUUACUAUUUGGUUUCGCAGGAGCUGACCCAACUUUAUUGAUUUGAUUUGAGUAUUACAUGAGAUAACUUCGACUGUAAAGAUCUUUUACGAACACGAGGUUUAAAAUGAUAUUUUACUGAUUUAGUUUGAAAAUGUUUAUUAACCUUCUCACUGCACAAAAGUUUACUUACUUGAUUUGAUAUACAUUAUGGUUGAUUACGACUUACAAGAGAUUCUCGAUAUUUUUUUAUAUAUAUAUAAUUCACAAAUCUCCGUUUGAAUUAAAUAUUUUUAUCUACUCUUGCAAGUUUUAUUAUUCAAAAUCUCAACCUUAUUGCUUGUUUCCCAUCUAUCCUCUACUCACAGAGCUGAUGAUCACUGAGUCUAUGAGACUCACACCCCUCUUUUUCUCCUUUUUACAGACAGGGAUAGGCCUAACGUGUAAUCAUUGGCGUAUAUGGUCCAUCGCAAAUAGGUAAAGGCAUCUCAUAGCAUUUUAUUCUGAGUCACUCCACUGUUAGAGGGCGAGUCGUAGCACUAUA
rnacentral:lncRNA from 1 species